GCCGAAGUAGCUCAAUGGUAGAGCAAUGGUUUUGUAAACCAUAGGUUGGGGGUUCGACUCCCUUCUUCGGCUCCA
rnacentral:tRNA from 1 species